CGUGUAGGCGGUUUAAUAAGUCAGAUGUAAAAGCCCCCGGCUCAACCGGGGAUGGUCAUUUGAAACUGUUAGGCUUGAGUGCGAGAGAGGGUAGUGGAAUUCCCAGUGUAGCGGUGAAAUGCGUAGAUAUUGGGAAGAACACCAGUAGCGAAGGCGGCUACCUGGCUCGCAACUGACGCUAAGGCGCGAAAGCGUGGGGAGCAAACA
rnacentral:rRNA from 1 species